GGUGUGGCUCAGCUUGGCUAGAGCGCCUGCUUUGGGAGCAGGAAGCCGCAGGUUCGAAUCCUGUCACC
rnacentral:tRNA from 1 species